AUGGCGGCCUCCACCAACGGCUCCUCGCCGCCGGCGCUCAAGUUCCUCAUCUACGGCCGCACCGGCUGGAUCGGGGGCCUCCUCGGCAAGCUCUGCACCGCGCAGGGCAUCCCCUUCGCCUACGGCGCCGGCCGGCUCGAGAACCGCGCCCAGCUCGAGGCCGACAUCGACGAGGUCGCGCCCACCCACGUCUUCAAUGCCGCGGGCGUCACCGGCCGCCCCAACGUCGACUGGUGCGAGACCCACCGCGUCGAGACCAUCCGCGCCAACGUCUGCGGCACGCUCACGCUCGCCGACGUCUGCCGCGCCCGGGGCCUCGUGCUCAUCAACUACGCCACGGGCUGCAUCUUCGAGUACGACGCGGGCCACCCGCUCGGCUCGGGGGUCGGGUUCAAGGAGGAGGACACCCCCAACUUCGUUGGAUCGUUCUACUCCAAAACCAAGGCCAUGGUUGAGGAACUGCUGAAAAACUACGAAAACGUGUGCACCCUUCGUGUAAGGAUGCCUAUUUCAUCUGAUCUGUCCAAUCCUCGCAAUUUCAUCACAAAGAUCACCCGGUAUGACAAGGUUGUGGAUAUCCCAAACUCAAUGACAAUAUUGGAUGAACUUCUUCCCAUCUCAAUCGAGAUGGCGAAGAGAAACCUCACCGGAAUCUGGAACUUCACUAAUCCUGGUGUGGUGAGCCACAAUGAGAUACUGGAGAUGUACAGAGAUUACAUCGACCCAAACUUCUCCUGGAAGAACUUCAACUUGGAGGAGCAAGCCAAGGUCAUAGUCGCACCGAGGAGCAACAAUGAACUUGACACUGUUAAAUUGAAGACGGAGUUCCCAGAACUUUUGUCAAUCAAGGAGUCGCUGAUCAAAAACGUGUUCAAACCAAAUCAGAAGACGUCCAAGGCUUGA
rnacentral:rRNA from 1 species